AGAUAAUGCGGGGGAAAACACCUAGGAGAUUUAACUAUUUUAUUUUUUUGUAAUUAGCAUGUAUAACU
rnacentral:sRNA from 1 species